AGAGCGAACGCUGGCGGCAGGCCUAACACAUGCAAGUCGAACGGUCCUUCGGGACAGUGGCGGACGGGUGAGUAACACGUGGGAACGUGCCCUUUGGUUCGGAAUAGCUCCGGGAAACUGGAAUUAAUACCGGAUGUGCCCUUCGGGGGAAAGAUUUAUCGCCAUUGGAGCGGCCCGCGUCUGAUUAGCUAGUUGGUGGGGUAAAGCCCACCAAGGCUACGAUCAGUAGCUGGUCUGAGAGGAUGAUCAGCCACAUUGGGACUGAGACACGGCCCAAACUCCUACGGGAGGCAGCAGUGGGGAAUCUUGCGCAAUGGGCGAAAGCCUGACGCAGCCAUGCCGCGUGGAUGAUGAAGGUCUUAGGAUUGUAAAAUCCUUUCAGCGGGACGAUAAUGACGGUACCGCAGAAGAAGCCCCGGCUAACUCGUGCCAGCAGCCGC
rnacentral:rRNA from 1 species